rnacentral:misc_RNA from 1 species
GAAAUGCGAUACGUAGUGUGAAUUGCAGAAUUCAGUGAACCAUCGAAUCUUUGAACGCACCUUGCGGCCGCCGGCACUCCGGCGGCCAUGCCCGUCCGAGCGUCGUUUCGACACUCGGGACCCCCCCAAUGCCCGCGAGGGAGUAGGAGGGGCCCCGGCCUUGGGCCACCACCGGAAGCCACUGUGCGGACGGCGGGGCCCGGAGAACAUUGGCGGCAGCGCCCCAGACGCCCCCUGCGCAGUAACAUCGCUCGCAUCGGGAACUGAAAGCAGCCUGCCUCGGGGCCGCCAGCGGCCCCGGCAACCACCUUCUUACAUGUCGACCUCGGAUCGGGUAGGGAUACCCGCUAAACUUAA